ensembl:lncRNA
ACUGUCUGUAGAUGGAGAAGGGACUACAUCAUCAGGCUGAUUCAGUUCUACAAGUUCAAGUGAGAGGUCAAUGUGUUUAUGUAAGACUGGAUGUUAAUUACAGCCGUCUUUAAGUGCCCUGCUGAUGUGCUUAUGAAAGCCUAGGUCUGAUUACAGUAACAGCAGAGUUUUGAAGGAAACUGUCACAAUGGUUACAGAUUAAGAGUUGCUAUAAUACUGCAGUAAUUUAAUAUGGUGUGAUUAGUAAUCAAUUACCACCAAGGCCUUCCUUAUAACAUAUACAGUGUUUGGUCAGGUGUACCACAGUAAUGGUUUCCGCUUGGAAGCUACUGAAUUUUUGUGCUGUAUUUUCUUUUCUUUUUUGUAAUGUAUAGAUCUGGGACUCAUGACUCGUACAUGGAGUGUGAAACAGAGUAAGCAGUAAUCUGUCUGUUACUGUUCUCUGAUCAAGUGUGUAAAUAACAUUUAAUAAGACAACUAACUAUUGUAGAAUUGAGGACUCUCCGCUGAACAUGGAUUGGGAGAAGAUGGCAAGAAUCUGAUUCAGACUUCCAGUCUACCCUUAAAGAUGUUGACUGUGAACUCAGAGGCUAGAACUGAACCAAGGGAGAGAGCAGCCCUCCUCCAUCUAAAAAGAAACUAUCCAGGUUAAGUGCUGUGGAUAAUAUUAAGAUCCAACUUUGAAAAGGACCAUAAUACAAACUAAUAAAUUAAUUUCUCUGAAUGCAUGUUUGCUAACUUUGCUACAGAUGGGCAGGACAUUGCUAUUAGACUGUCCAAGCAGGGAGCCAGCUCCAACAAGAGACUGAGACAGGCAAUAAAAGAAUACAACAGCAUUCAGUGGCCACCUCAGAUGAGCAUCUUCCCUGCAACAAUUGAUUUUCAGGAAGCAUGCGAUCCCUCUUGGCAUGUCUACUUCUGCUUUGAUGACACUAUUGAAGAAGAUAAUGUUUCGAGGAGUCUAAAAGGGCGAGGGAUUGAUGCCUUACAUAUGAAGCCUCGGGCAGCUGAAUCCUCAGACUGUAUACUUGAACCUGUUUUUAGGCUGAGGUUCACAAGCACUUCAUAAACUUUUUAAGUCCAAAGAAAUGGUUCUGAUGUUGUUGCAGAUCAUAGAAACCUUUCAUGGUGGUGGAGGAAUAUAAUUACUUUACUGCAUUAGGCCGGUGACACACUGGCUGCGUGGCGUGAGCGUCGCGUGUCUGAAGCGUCCCAGAAGCGUGGUGGCUGCCUCGCGUUUUCUGUGUCUUUACACACCAGAACCGUGCCUGGCGCGGCACUGGUGCGCUGCUGCUGUAGAGGGAGACCGUUGACAGACCAGGCUCUUGUCUUCAUGACAACAAUAUCAACUUUUUUUUACACACCUACACCUACGCCUACUGAUAAAGGACACCGUCAAAAGUAUUGACGGCGAAAUAGAUUAUGUUUGACAGGUGCAAUAUUUGAAAAUCGAUAAUUAUUUAUUUAUUUUUUAAAUUACAUUUAUAUCUGAAUUUAUGUCAACCUAUAGACUUUCAAAUAUCAAAAUAUAAUGAAUUCAUAUGUAUUUGUGUACAAAAUGACAUAUAAACACAUUUUCCUACUAUAUUUUGCCUGGAAACGCUUCCAACACGCGCGCGUGUCGCGGUAAAAAUAGGCGUCGGUUCUAUUUCUAGCAUGCACGCGUUUUCCGCGCGGCUCGAGCCGCGCCUGAGACGCGCGUCUCACGCAGGCGGUCUGUAAGCUCUAACCUGUUAACAUGGGAGCCGAAUUAAAAACCGACACGCCACGCGGCUGAGACGCUUGCGCCACGCAUCCAGUGUGUCGCCGGC